CAGCCUACGGGAGGCAGCAGUGAGGAAUAUUGGUCAAUGGGAGAGAUCCUGAACCAGCCAAGCCGCGUGAGGGAAGACGGCCCUAUGGGUUGUAGACCUCUUUGGACGGGGAGCAAGGCCGCCGACGUGUCGGCGGAAGGAGAGUACCCGUAGAACAAGCAUCGGCUAACUCCGUGCCAGCAGCCGCGGUAAUACGGAGGAUGCGAGCGUUAUCCGGAUUUAUUGGGUUUAAAGGGUGCGCAGGCGGCACGGCAAGCCGGCGGUCAAAUCGCGGGGCUCAACCCCGCCCAGCCGUCGGAACUGCC
rnacentral:rRNA from 1 species